rnacentral:rRNA from 1 species
UGCAGUCGAGCGGAAUUNGUUGAAAGCUUGCUUUCAACUAAUCUAGCGGCGGACGGGUGAGUAACACGUGGGUAACCUGCCCCUUAGACUGGGAUAACAUUCGGAAACGGAUGCUAAUACCGGAUACACAACUUGGUCGCAUGGCCGAGUUGGGAAAGACGGAGCAAUCUGUCACUAAGGGAUGGACCUGCGGCGCAUUAGCUAGUUGGUGAGGUAACGGCUCACCAAGGCGACGAUGCGUAGCCGACCUGAGAGGGUGAUCGGCCACACUGGGACUGAGACACGGCCCAGACUCCUACGGGAGGCAGCAGUAGGGAAUCUUCCGCAAUGGACGAAAGUCUGACGGAGCAACGCCGCGUGAGUGAUGAAGGUUUUCGGAUCGUAAAGCUCUGUUGCCAGGGAAGAAUGCUUGGGAGAGUAACUGCUCUCAAGGUGACGGUACCUGAGAAGAAAGCCCCGGCUAACUACGUGCCAGCAGCCGCGGUAAUACGUAGGGGGCAAGCGUUGUCCGGAAUUAUUGGGCGUAAAGCGCGCGCAGGCGGCCUUGUAAGUCUGUUGUUUAAACUCGGAGCUCAACUCCGAGUCGCAAUGGAAACUGCAAAGCUUGAGUGCAGAAGAGGAAAGUGGAAUUCCACGUGUAGC